UACGUAGGGUGCGAGCGUUGUCCGGAAUUAUUGGGCGUAAAGGGCUCGUAGGCGGUCCGUCGCGUCUGCCGUGAAAGCCCGGAGCUUAACUCCGGGUCUGCGGUGGAUACGGGCGGACUAGAGUGCGGCAGGGGAGACUGGAAUUCCUGGUGUAGCGGUGAAAUGCGCAGAUAUCAGGAGGAACACCGGUGGCGAAGGCGGGUCUCUGGGCCGACACUGACGCUGAGGAGCGAAAGCGUGGGGAGCGAACAGGAUUAGAUACCCUGGUAGUCCACGCCGUAAACGGUGGGCGCUAGGUGUGGGAUCCUUUCCACGGAUUCCGUGCCGUAGCUAACGCAUUAAGCGCCCCGCCUGGGGAGUACGGCCGCAAGGCUAAA
rnacentral:rRNA from 1 species